CCGCCACAUGCCGCCGCCGCGCAGGGAGAAGCCCGGGCUAAGCCGCUCCAGCCCAGCGGCCACACGAGCCCGCCCGGAAGCGGAAAGGAGAGGCUGCGUUUCAUACAGCGGGUCCGGCGGAAACACGACUCUGCCCGGGCCACAGUGGCAGAACUAAUGCAUCUUUCAGAAGAGGGCAUAAUUCCCCCAGCAGUGCCUUCCACCUCUCCACACUGCCUGAUCAGUGUUUGGGUUUGCUAUUGAUGUCACAUGGCCAAGAUCACCUAAAAAGCAAGCAAGCAAAAAAGAAUGACUAAGAACAAACUGAAGUAGAUCAACAAAAUUCUACUUUCCAGAAGGUACCAACAGAACUACCAGAAGCAGCAAAAGAACCAGAAGCCUGCUUUUAAACAGAAAUGCGGGCUUUAGAGGAAUUAAUUCUGAAGCACAUCUUGGAGACUCCCACCUAGAAGAAAACAGUCAGUCUGAGAUUCGAAGACCUCAUGGAACACUGUGUUCAGAGCAAGGAAAUUAAGCUCCCAGCAGCAGAUGUGAUUAAAGAAUGCAACAUUUGACAACAAGGCAGAUAAGUUGUGGCUCUCAAUGUUGAUUGGCCUUUUUGCAGGACUAGAAAAAUAUAAUUGCCUCUCUCCCAUCAUCUUUAUUUUCACCACUUCUCCUUUAGUCUCAGCUUUUCAGCCACUAGAAAACAUCUGCCCCCAUGUUUAACUGGUAGCCGCACCAGAUUUGCAAUUACUACUCUACACAGCCAUCACCACUUAUCAUAGCUCCCAGCUUGAGGUAGUAUUUGAGUAAGGAGAACAACACACCAGCAUUCACAGCUCCUCUGAUAGCCAGAAGCAUAUUCCCCAGCAUUUCCUAACCAAAUGUGUCCAGAGCAAAUCCAGGUGAGUGUUCUACCCUGCCUGCAGCAUGAGUAAACAGUUCAACCCAUUACUUAAUUCCAUUCCCCUAAGGCUGUUGAGCCCUUUCUCCUACCCAAGAUGUUAACAUAAGAUACAUUCAUCUCAGCUGCACCCACCCAACGUCUCAGCCUUUAAAACACUCCAGCCCUUACCAUUACAGUGUUCAUUUUGUAUAAUCAUGUGAUCAUCUUCUGCCCAUGCUGAGUAGUAGCGCACAACAUGGGGGUGGUGUCCAAGGACCGCAUGAGCAUAAACCUCACGCAAUGCCAGCUGCCUAGAGAAGCAUGCACAGAAAAAGCAUUGGUGACAGGAUGUCAGGGUACUGUGUGGGACCAUACAAUGAGUUCGAUUUGCAGCCUGACUCGGGAAAGGGAAAGCAGAGAUGUUUUGGACUCAGAUUUUGGCAGAUGGACUGACUCACAGCUGCUGAAGCAAAGCCUUAAAAAUGGAUAUUCAGGAAUACCUCAAGCUUGUCAAGCAGCUGCCAAUGCAGGCACCGCUGAACAAGUCUUCUAUUAAAGUGGAAAAGGUACUUUCAAAGACAUUGCUUCGACACAUCAGCAUGCAGAAUAACACUAGGUGGUCAAUACGGAUGCAAAUAGGUUGUGUGGAAGGCCAAUACCACAAGUAAAUAGUUUAAUAGUUGUUUUAAAGACAGACUGGCUGCAUGGGGUAUGAGGAUUCUGGGUAAGCUGCCAUAUCACUUCAUAGCGCAUGUGGCUUCUCCUCUCUUAGACAUUUGUAUUUAUUUGCCCUAAAAUGGUAUCUUUCUUCACCCUCCCACCUCUUAUUUAAACAGCAGCCAGUUUUCACUCCCACCACUCUUCAGAUACCUUUAUAUUCACACUCCCUCCUUCCCGAUCACACCUCCCAAGAACACAUCCAUCAUUUCAGCUAGCACACUCACUCAUCUGAGGAUCCUGCCAGAGGCCUCUUGGAGCGUUUGAUGGCAUAAACACAUCCGUCAAGGCGCUUGAUGCAUUUGUAGACAGAACCAAAUUCCCCUACACCAAUCCUUUCCAGUUCCAGGAAUUCCUUCUGGUAGCGGGAAACCAUAUUGCUGUCUUUCAGAGGACACCUCUAGAAGGUCAUAAGCGCAGCAAAGACAGCAGUAUGAGUUGAAAGACUCAGAUACACAUCACAUUUUUACAGCUGUGAAUCAUUCAUCCAAACACAAGACCCAUUUUACUCCCUUUCCCAUCCUGAACUCUCUCUUUCAACUGGUAUCUUCCACUUGAAGAUUUUUGUAAUCUUCUGGGCACCUAACAAAGGCUGCCUUCGUCCAGCUCAGUCAAGAUUUAUUUAUUCUAAUCAUAGGGUUAGAAAAUGCAGCUAAGGACUAAAGAAACAGUUUAGUUGGCUGUAUGUGGCUUGCAUUACUACCGUCAUAUCCCUUCUCUUGGCAGCUCAGUCCGGUUCCUGCACCCACAACAAAUGAAGUAAAACAAGGAAGAACUGCAGAAAGAGUAUUUGCCUUCUGCUCAGCUACUGCAAACUUGAGAAGACUUGUUACCAGACUUGAUACGUGGAAGUCCAGCACUUCUGUAUCCAUCACUCACGUUCUCAGCUUGAGUUUAAAUGAGAGCUAUUGACUAUUUGGAGCUAAGGAGAAAUUGAUGCUACCCGAGCUACAUAAAACCUGCUUUAUGCUGGCAGUCAAAGUCACCUACAGCAAGCACAUAAUGCACCAGCUGAGGAUCUCAUUGGCUCUGAAGCAACAGCUGUUGACUAACUGUACUUCAGCAGGUCUAAGUGUUUGUAUUCCCAGCUAUUUCCUCACCAAGAGCCACAUCUGUACCAAGGGAUGAAAGCCUGCAGAGCAGCUGGAACAUUAUUGUUACAGUAACGGUCAUCAGAGAAAUAGAAGGUGCUGGUACUGCUUGUAGAGUGAUGUCUACCAGCAGGAGAGAGAAGGAAAAAAAGUAGUGGCGCAUGAAGGGAACAAGAGACUGGACUAUGUGAUUUCCCUUUAUCCCUCUACAUCCCUUACAGGGACAAGGAUUCCUGUUGCACAUGACUUUCCACAAAAACCACUGCUGUGAUUCCUGCUAGACUGCAAUAUGACCUUAAAGGAAGGAUUUGGUCCCCCAGUCAGAAAGAUGUGGCCCAUGUGAAACAGCAGCUCUUCACAACACGCCAAAUUUUGUAAGACAGCUAAAUAUUAGCUCAGGAAAUAAAAACAGCUUCUAGUAACAAUUUUGUUUCAGUUAUGGUUGAAAUGAAUGCAGGAAUAAUGUUUCAGUAAGACAAAAAUGGAGACUUUCUUCCAAAGAACCAGUCCCAAAUGCCACAUGCUUGAGAAGCUACAGCUGUGUAUUAUUACACCUGCUACAGGUUUUCUGCAAUACCAGUUUUCUCGACUAGAGGGUAUCAUUAUUCUUCAAGUGAGUCUAGGUAUUUCAGUUACAGUGAACAAAACAUACAAGAAAUACCUGGUUAAAAGUGCUGCUCAGGAAAACUGAGAUUUUUACCUCACCUGAAUACAGAUCUGAUUUGCACUUGACUUCCUUUCCAGAAGCCAGCAAGGAUGAGAAGUGGAGAAGUAAGGAUAGCAGGACCCAGCUCUGCCAGCUGGCCAAGAGCACACUCAAUCUUGCUCCUUGCCCCAUGUGGCGAGCCAGCACACACUGCCACAGAGGUUUUCCAGCAAAUUUUGGUUUCGUGCUUUAAGACUGUGCCUGCUGGACCAUGGAUGCAGGAAAUGUAUAGUGAAGCCUUCAAAAUACACAGACAGCCCAGUUGAAUAAGAAAGCCCUUGAUGGGGUGGGCAAGAAGUCCAAAUACUUUUUCACAUCUCUCCUGACCAGCCACGGAAGGAGAGCAAAGGACAUCAGCCAGGAGAUGCUCAACUAGGGUAUGCCAAGCUCAUCUUCCAGCACCACCACACCUUCAGUGGAGAGCCAAAGUAACACUUAAUCACAGCUGGCCUCAUUACAACUAAAUUCAUGCACUGGUCAGAGUGGAAUUUUCAGUUGAUAAAAACUUGCUAUGUCAAGUCUGAAAAACCAAGGUAUACAAGGCCAUGAAUCUAGGUAGCUCUGCGUUUACUGAUAUUAUCACGUAAGUCACAGUGGGAGCCAGGCUCUCCUCAGAUCUGCUGGUCUCACAGCAGAGUCCCUUUUCUGUACCCCAGCUUUCUUACAAAAGAAACUUACUUUCUUACUGAGGUGCAAGGUAGCCAAGUUUGAUAACUAGCAUGAAACACUGCUUGGGACAUUCUAAAGUCAGAUAAGUCAAGAGGAUACUUCAAACAAGACCUACAGCAAAAAGACAUUUACCUACUGAGGGACAUUCAAGAAUUUACUGCCUCAUUUCAGGAUUUUGCCAUUGCAACUACUGCAACUGAAGUUCAGCCUUCAGUACUCAUCCACAUCAGAAUCAUUCAGAUUUUUUUUUUGUGGUACAGGUCUAUACAUUAUUUGCAAUGCAGAAACUGUGUUAUAUUCCCAUCCAAUGUUGUUCAGUACACUGAUUCAUAGCUACGGCAAUACACGUGCUCCUUCAAACCACAUAGGUACAGUCACUAUUUAGAGUAAUUCAACAGUAUACGAAUACAGUAAUUACUCCCUGCCCCCUAAGGAGCCCAAACCAUUACAUGACCUAUAGACCAAAACAGAUGAGUUUUAGAGUUACUUGUAUAAGUUUCAGAUCUGCUUUGGUACAAGCUUCCUUGAGGAAUCAUUGGCAAGUUUGCUAUUUCAAAUCUUAACAGCAGGCAUUCAGCUCAGAAUGAUUCUAUUACAAGUACCAUCCUCUGUCACACAGUAGUUUAAACCCCAAUGGUUGAGUAAGUUUCACCAAGCACUACGACUUGGUAAGCAUCUUAUGAUCAUAUUGAGGGGGGAUUAUGCAGAGGCACUCACCUGGGUGGGUAGCUCCUGUUUUACCUGGCCUCUUAGAUCAGGAUUCCUUCUGUAACAGAAGUUCAGGAAAGUCUACAUGUAUCACUGAAUAUAUUACUGAAGUGGGUAAUUCAUUGUUAGCAAAUAAGCCUGGGUACUAAAAAUGUAUCCUUCA